AACGAACGCUGGCGGCAUGCCUAACACAUGCAAGUCGAACGAGACCUUCGGGUCUAGUGGCGCACGGGUGCGUAACGCGUGGGAAUCUGCCCUUGGUUCGGAAUAACAGUUGGAAACGACUGCUAAUACCGGAUGAUGACGUAAGUCCAAAGAUUUAUCGCCCAAGGAUGAGCCCGCGUAGGAUUAGCUAGUUGGUGAGGUAAAGGCUCACCAAGGCGACGAUCCUUAGCUGGUCUGAGAGGAUGAUCAGCCACACUGGGACUGAGACACGGCCCAGACUCCUACGGGAGGCAGCAGUGGGGAAUAUUGGGACAAUGGGCGAAAGCCUGAUCCAGCAAUGCCGCGUGAGUGAUGAAGGCCUUAGGGUUGUAAAGCUCUUUUACCCGGGUAAGAUAAUGACUGUACCGGGAGAAUAAGCCCCGGCUAACUCCGUGCCAGCAGCCGCGGUAAU
rnacentral:rRNA from 1 species